UACCAGCACCUCGAGUGAUCAGGACGUUUAUUGGGCCUAAAGCAUCCGUAGCUGGCUUUGCAAGUCUCCGGUUAAAUCAACCUGCUCAACAGAUUGGCCGCUGGAGAUACUACAAAGCUAGGGAGUGGGAGAGGCAGACGGUAUUCGGGGGGUAGGGGUAAAAUCCUCUGAUCCUCUGAGGACCACCAGUGGCGAAGGCGGUCUGCCAGAACACGUUCGACAGUGAGGGAUGAAAGCUGGGGGAGCAAACCGG
rnacentral:rRNA from 1 species